GCCUUCUUGGCUCAGUUGGCAGAGCGUCUCCCUAGUAAGGAGAAGGUCACCAGUUCGAUUCUGGUAGAAGGCA